rnacentral:misc_RNA from 1 species
GAACGCACCUUGCGCCCUUUGGCCAUUCCGAAGGGCAUGCCUGUUUGAGUAUCAUGAACACCUCAACUCCUCAUGGCUUGCCAUGAUGAGCUUGGACUUUGGGGGUCUUGCUGGCCUGCAGUCAGCUCCUCUCAAAUGAAUCAGCUUGCCAGUGUUUGGUAGCGCCACAGGUGUGAUAAACAUCUACUCUUGUGGUCCCCUGCCAUGUAACCUUCAGCAAUGGGGGUUUGCUGGAGCUCACAAAUGUCUUUCCUCAGUGAAGACAGAUCUUUGAUUGUUUGAUCUCAAAUCAGGUAGGACUACCCGCUGAACUUA